rnacentral:lncRNA from 1 species
AUAUUAUACUUUUGUAAUGUGUCUAUGUUUGAAAUAGAAAUACAUAUGUUUAUGAUUUUAGGUAGAAAGAAAGAAAGAAAGAAAGAAAGAAAGAAAGAAGAAAGAGAAAGAAAGAAAGAAAGAAAGAAAGAAAGAAAGAAAGAAGAAAGAAAGAAAGGAAAGAAAGAAAGAAAGAAAGAAAGAAAGAAAGAAAGAAAGAAAGAAAGAAAGAAAGAAAGAAAAGGAGAAAAGAAGGAAGGGAGGGAGAAGGAAGGAAGGAAGAAGGAAGAAAAGGAAAGGAGCUGAUAUGGCCCCACAAGUAGUCUUAAAGACAGGAUCUUUGUUUGGAUCUCAAGAAUCUUGGUGUUUCAUUUCUCUGUUUACAUCCAAGAGCACAAUGAGUACACUGACUUCCAAAUCCUUUGGUUCCUGGAAAAGAAACGCUUACACAUAUUAAGAGAGGUAAUUGAAUAAAUAAGUAAACUGUGUAUUAAAAAAAAAAAANACAUCCAAGAGCACAAUGAGUACACUGACUUCCAAAUCCUUUGGUUCCUGGAAAUGAAACGCUUACACAUAUUAAAAGAGGCAAGUGCUCUGAACCCAGAUUUCUACUUGGAGAAGCAGAAAAACUGGUAUGGAUGUUCUAAAGAUUUGCCAGCUUUCAAAGAAAGAAGAAAGAAGAAAGAAAGAAAAGAAAGAAAGAAAGAAAGAAAGAAAGCAGAAAGAAAGAAAGAAAAAGAUCUAGAGAGAAGGAAGCAUUGCAUUCAAACAAUCAACUACAGUUGCUUGCUUCACAAAGGCCAUUUUAGAGAUACAGAAGUGCAGCUCCAAAAGGAAAAUGGUUUACUUGUGGACACUUUCACUGUGUCCUAGUUGAUUUUGAUUUCUAAAUGCUCUUCAGAUCACUGCUCUUCUCUGCAACUUCAUUUGUACCAUAUGAACUCAGGCUUUGAAUCAUUUCAAAAAGAUUACAUCAAUAGCUUUCCUUUUCAGGCCUACCAAAAUACUCUUUCUAAAACCAAAUUGUGUCCCUCCCUGUAUUAUAUUCUUCAAUGGCUCCUCGGAUGUUUCCAGGGUAAUAUCUAUACUUUGGUCUUUGGACAGUAAUGUUCCCUUGAAGACUCUAUUUUCUAAUCCCCAGAACUUGUGAAUGGGUAGUCAGACAACAACACAAAAAAGAUGUGACCAUGAGAUCAGAGUUUGGAGUGAUGCACUUUAAAGAUGAAGGAGGAAAGAAAGAGAAGACAAGGAAUGUAGGAAACUUCUAGAAGAUGGAAAAGGCAAGGAAAUAAAUUAUCUUCUGAAAUCUUCA